rnacentral:rRNA from 1 species
GACGAGCCACCCAAACGUUAUUCGGAAUUACUGGGCUUAAAGGGUGCGUAGGCGGUGCAGCAAGUCGGGAGUGAAAUACCUCAGCUUAACUGAGGAACUGCUUUCGAUACUGCUGUGCUUGAGUAAGACAGAGGUAAGCGGAACUUAGGGUGGAGCGGUGAAAUGCGUUGAUAUCCUAAGGAACACCGGUGGCGAAGGCGGCUUCCUGGACCGACACUGACGCUGAGGCGCGAAAGCUAGGGGAGCAAACGGG